UUGAGCCGAGGUGCGGGGAAAGCCCGCUCGCCCGGUUCUGAGGGGGCGCCGGCGCGGAAACGCGCCGGCGCUACCCGAC
rnacentral:ncRNA from 1 species